rnacentral:rRNA from 1 species
GACGAACGCUGGCGGCGUGCUUAACACAUGCAAGUCGAACGAAGUGGCGAACGGGUGAGUAACGCGUAAUCAACCUGCCCUUCAGCGGGGGACAACAGUUGGAAACGACUGCUAAUACCUCAUACUGAGGGAGGGGAUUGCGUCUGAUUAGCUAGUUGGAGGGGUAACGGCCCACCAAGGUGAGGAUCAGGAGCCGGGCUGAGAGGAUGAACGGCCACAUUGGGACUGGGACACGGCCCAGACUCCUACGGGAGGCAGCAGUGGGGAAUCUUCCGCAAUGGACGAAAGUCUUACGGAGCAAAGCCGCGUGAGUGAUGACGGCCUUCGGGUUGUAAAGCUCUGUUAAUCGGGACGCGGUACCGGAAUAGAAAGCCACGGCUAACUACGUGCCAGCAGCCGCGGUAAUUC